rnacentral:rRNA from 1 species
GAUGAACGCUGGCGGCGUGCCUAAUACAUGCAAGUAGAACGCUGAAGGAGGAGCUUGCUCUUCUGGAUGAGUUGCGAACGGGUGAGUAACGCGUAGGUAACCUGCCUGGUAGCGGGGGAUAACUAUUGGAAACGAUAGCUAAUACCGCAUGACAACAGUUAUUGCAUGAUAACUGUUUAAAAGGGGCAACUGCUCCACUACCAGAUGGACCUGCGUUGUAUUAGCUAGUUGGUGAGGUAACGGCUCACCAAGGCGACGAUACAUAGCCGACCUGAGAGGGUGAUCGGGCACACUGGGACUGAGAAAAGGCCCAGACUCCUACGGGAGGCAGCAGUAGGGAAUCUUCGGCAAUGGACGGAAGGCUGACCGAGCAACGCCGCGGGAGUGAAGAAGGUUUUCGGAUCGGAAAGCUCUGUUGUAAGAGAAGAACGAGUGUGAGAGUGGAAAGUUCACACUGUGACGGUAUCUUAAGAGAAAGGGACGGCUAACUACGUG